UGGGAUCUUUUCUGUUCAGGGCUUUCUUGG
rnacentral:piRNA from 1 species